CCUCCCCCUCACAGGACCCCUAUUAGUCCUCUCUAUGUUUCUCCUAAUAGAACCAUGUCUAUUAAAUUGCCUACAGAAGUUCAUGCAAGAUCAGAUACACAAAUUCACCAACAAGCUGGUCAAUCAACUACUUCUUUAAGACUACCAGCCCUGAUGCCCAAGAUGGACACCUAUGACUCAUGACCAACUCCUCUGGCUCCAGAGACUCUGUGCCCAUCUAAAACCCUCUCUAACCCUUUUUCCAAUUUUCACAACCCCUCUUUCACUUCCUAGGAAUGAGAACUACUCUCUAGCACGUCCACUCUGCUUAUUCUGUCUGCUCUACAGUAUCCCCACAAGGAAGCAUCAAACCUAAACUCCCCCUGGUACCACCAUUUCUCCCACCUUAAAAAGGCACUUGUUCAAAAUGUCCAGUCCUGGAAUUCCACCAUGCCCACCAAACUGAAAAUUUCUUGCCAACCCUCUUCUUCUUUUACUAAUCAUUAUUCUCUCUCAAGUUUUUAUCUCAAACCACAGAUACUGCUUCUACAUCAAUGUGACAUGACACCAGGAUGACACCACCCACUCUCAGUUUAUGGGUCAAGGCAAUUGCCCUUCCACUGGCUGUAAACGGUCUGUCACCCUUAACAUUACUGGAUUCAACCAAGCCACCUCCAAUACUUCCUCGAGUCCCUGCUACAGGACCAGUGGCCGAUACCAAAAAUCUCCUCCAUCCAGGACUGGUUUGAUGCCAUCGAGGACUUGUGGCUUCAAGGAACUUUUAUGGACUUUACCCCUACCACAGUAGUUGUCUGUAGCCACUGAGUGUUAUUUCUGCUCUGGUGUUCUCAGACCUGUCCCCCGAACAUUCCUCCACUUCCCCUUCUAGGUCCAACGCCACCCACCAUUAAGCACGAAGUAGCCAGAGGACUUUACGCCGUCCCCCAUGUCACUUAGAAAAACAAAAAGGGAGGAAUGUUGGGUGCAGAGCAGGCUGAACUGUGUUGUCUGCAGGGCAGGCUGAACAGAUGUUGGAUGCAAGAUAGCCCACACACUCAAAUCCCCCUCUAUCUAGUCCUUUAUCACCUGUUUGUGUCAAGUCCCGCUCAAGGCUGAGCACUCAACCCCCCUUGGGCCAACAAGGCAGCUUGCAGACCCAGAGGCCCCAUUAGAUUUGGGGUAUAAAAACUCCCUCCUGCCAGCCCACCCCCUCUUGCUCUCUCUCUCUUGCUCUCUGUCUUUCUUGCACGUGCUCUCUGUCUCUCUCUCUUGCUCUUGCUCUCUCCCUGUUCAUUUCUUCUCUUCUUUCUCUCUCUCUCUUUCCUUCUUUCCUUUCUCUUUGUUGCACUGCUGCAAUAAAGAUCUUUUGGUUGAUCCAAGUGUUGUGGUCACUUUCCUUUCAGGCAGUCCAUGGGCAUUUGUGCUGUUUCCUUUUGGACCAUUUUUGUAUAAAGCUAUGAGUAUUCAUGUACAGGUAACACAGUGAUUCUAGUUUUCAUUUCUUUAUGAAAAUGCCCAGGAGAAGAAUUAUUGAUCCUGUGAUGUUGAGAGCCACAGCCAGUCAGAAUGACUCUUAGCAUUUGCCUGAGGGAAUGUUUGAAAGGUGACACCAGCAAACCAUUGAGAUGAUGAUUUGAGUUAAGCUGUAUAUAAUUGCUGUGAUGCUGGAUUGUAUUGUAUAUUUGACCUUUACUGUGGGGCAAUGGGGCGCUACUUUGGAGUUCUUGUGCUACUUUGGAGUUCUC
rnacentral:lncRNA from 1 species